rnacentral:lncRNA from 1 species
CCCUUUAGGAUUUAAAUCUCUCUUCUCUUUCUUCUUUGUUUGGGCGGUUCGAGCUUACCCUAGCUUCAAAUCCUUUUCUCCAAAUCGACGGUCUAUCUCCCCAAAAUCUUUGCUUUUCCUCUAAAAAUCUCUUCCACUCUACCACUCAUUAACUCUCCUAAGCUAUUUGCAAGUCUCUUCUAUCCAAAAUGGCUUUCAAAUCAAAGCUACCGUAGAGAAAAAAAUCUGCUCGAGGGUUAGAGGAAGAUGUGCGCAGAAAAAGAAUGGCUGCCGAGCCCUCUUCUACUCCAACUCCAGUUUCAGGUCCUGCUCCAGCUUCUUCAUAGUCUCCACUCAGUCCAAGC